rnacentral:rRNA from 1 species
GACGAACGCNGGCGGCGUGCUUAACACAUGCAAGUCGAACGUGAUUUUUGUGGAAAUUCUUUCGGGAAUGGAAAUGAAAUGAAAGUGGCGAACGGGUGAGUAACACGUGAGCAACCUACCUUACACAGGGGGAUAGCCGUUGAAAACGACGAUUAAUACCGCAUGAGACCACAGAAUCGCAUGAUAUAGGGGUCAAAGAUUUAUCGGUGUAAGAAGGGCUCGCGUCUGAUUAGCUAGUUGGAAGGGUAAAGGCCUACCAAGGCGACGAUCAGUAGCCGGUCUGAGAGGAUGAACGGCCACAUUGGAACUGAGACACGGUCCAAACUCCUACGGGAGGCAGCAGUGGGGAAUAUUGCACAAUGGGGGGAACCCUGAUGCAGCGACGCCGCGUGAGCGAAGAAGGUUUUCGAAUCGUAAAGCUCUGUCCUAUGAGAAGAUAANGACGGU